AAUAAAGGAAAAUUGGUCCUGGUCCCCCAGCUCUUGUCUCGAAAGAAAGGAGGGAAGGUCUCAAAAGAAAGAAGGAGAGAGAGAGGAAGAGAAGGUAAGUUGGUCCUGGUCCCCCAGCAUUUCUCCAGAGUCCUUUUUCCAGCAGAGACUUGGUGGAGGCAUCACCCUCAGAGUCCUUCUCUGGACCUGGACCUGCCCACCUGUGGGAGCAGGAAGGGCCCUUGCUUCCAGUGGCCUCUCUGGGUACCAGGUCCCACAGUGGCCACAGUAGGAGCAGAGUGAGUGGGGUAUAAACUCCUGUCACAGGAGGGAGGACUAGCCGGGCCCGGCUAAGUGGACCUGUGUCUGCAGUCACGCAUUUCCUGUGAAUUGGGAAGCCUGCUACAGGAGAAGCAGGCCAGGUCCCACUAGGCUGGAAGAAGCUCCUGUUAAUCAAAAGGCCAGUGUUGAAGCCUGACCUGAGAACCACAGGAUAAAUUGUGUGGUUCUUUUGGUGUCAGUCAGGCACAGAGACUGUUCUGCCCCACUGCUGUGCCUAUGGCCAGGGGGUUCCUGGGGGCAGACGCAGGAGCAAGAGUCUGCUCUGGAAAGGUCACUUUGUCCUUUGCAGCUGAGUUAGGGGAAAGGAAGUUAGAGCCAGUGUAGUGUUCGCGCCAAGGGCUCGAGACAGCUAGUUGACUCGCCCCAGUUUGGCUGCUGGACCUGUCUGCAUUUCCCCACCUCGAGGGCUGUCGAGUGAGACAAAGGGCCGCGAGCUGAGUCACUAAAAGCAACAACAGAAUGCAAAGCAAAGGCCUGAAGUUUAUGAGGACAUUAUGCAGUCUGCUUCCAUGUCCCCAUCAGUCUCUGUGUAAGCAAUAAACUUGCUGCAAUUGAGAUGCCUAAGAGGAGCAGAGACCUCUGCCCAUAUUUUCCCUGGAGCCAAGCCUUUGUUUUAGCUCCUGGUGAAAAACAGGUUUAACCAGCCACCUUAAGGGCGCCAUUGUAUCUUUGAAAUGUAAACUCCUAUCACAAGCCCCCUUAAACUGCUUUCUGAGCGGAUAUCACAAGCCCCUGAUAACUAUUUUUUAUGGAGUUUCUAUUUCCUUUCUGUUUACCCCUUUUUUUUUCUUUCUACUGAGAUUAAGUAAAUGUAACAAGAAAAAGGUAUAAAAGCUGUAACCCACAAGAAUAAAAUCGCUGUGGCUGUCACUGUGGCUCGCUGUGGCUGCUGCUGCACUGCCCAGCCCUCCAGACUCUACUUUUCUAUAUUCUUUCUCUUCCGCGCACUCUCUCUCUCAGGUUGAACGAGACAUCUACGUUGGCGGUCUCGGGGACUCCCGCAGGUCGGUAGUCCCCCGGCAGACGUGCCGGACCCCAACAAGCCAGCAAUCACGGCUUCCCCUCCCCGCCUCCCAAAGCACAUCCCCUUCCUCCUGGGCCUUGGCACCUGCUUCCUCCAUGAGUGUCACCACCAACUCUGCCCUCAGAACUUUCCUUUCAGAACCCAGGGACCAUGGGCGCCUCCAGGCUCUCUACGCUGGUGCUGGUCCUGCAGCCUCAGCAAGUUCUCCUGGGCAUGAAAAAGCGAGGCUUUGGGGCCGGCCGCUGGAAUGGCUUUGGGGGCAAAGUGCAAGAAGGAGAGACCACCGAGGAGGGAGCCAAGAGCUUCACUGAGAUAGGAACUGAAGCCCAGAGAGGUUGAGCAGCUUGCCCAAGAUCACACAGUCCUCCAGACACCCCUCACCCAUCACAGGGUCAACGAGAUCGUCUGUGUAAACAUCACAAAGUCCUGCCCAGAUGUAGCCCCUGUUCGUGUUCCUGCUCUGAGAAAGAUCAAGAAACAGAAGUGGACCGUGAACCCGGCCCUCCAUCCUGACUUCCAGUACAGUUGAUGACUUUGGCCUGUUCCCGGUGCAGGAUUUCAGAGGCUGCGCCCUCCUCCAGCUUCUUUCCAGCAUCACAUGUGCCACAGCAGUGAAUCCUCCUCCAGCUGCUGGGUGGUGCCCUGCAGAGUAGAGACGGCGUUGCACCAUGUUAGCCAGGCUUGUGUUGAACUCCUGACCUCAGGUGAUCUACCCGCCUUGGCUUCCCAAAGUGCUGAGAUUAGAGUGAGUAGCACGGAUAGAGCAGACACUUGAGCAGAACUGAAACAUCAUCAUCUUCGCCUGCGUGGCGCUCCCCGCCUGUAAAAUGAAGCUUCCACGCUGUCUCCCAGAAGAUUCUUCAUGCUUCCUAUGCUGCCGUGUGUUGGGGAAGAUUAACUGAAAUCAGUCACAACAUUCUGUCGGGAGGUGACGCUUUUUAAGACAAGCAACAGCUGGCCACCAAGAGGCUGGUGAGGCCCCACUGAGCACAUCUGUUGCAUCUAGCUGGGGAGCCAUUUGCACCCUGCAAGGACAAACAAACAUGUUAAUUGUUUAGCUCAAGUCCAGCUUUAAUUAGCCAUCUCCCUGAAUAAAUGUUGAUUCCAGGUCUGUUUCCUCUCCAGUCCCUACAGCUUAUGCUGAGGAGGCAUAACUUAAAUCAGACCAUGUAGGCCAGGCAUGGUGGCUCACACCUGAAGUCCCAGCACUUUGGGAGGCCAAAGAAGAAGGAUCGCUUGAGCCCAGCAGUUCGGGACCAGCCUGGGCAACAUAGCAAGACCUUGUCUCUACAAAAAAAAAUGAAAUAACACAGGCACACCCACAGAUAAAUUAGCCAGGCAUGGUAGGAGGAGCAGACUGAAAUGCCCGGGGGCCACAGCCCGUGCAUUCCCAGGGUCCCAGCACAGAGUAGGUCUUGGAGAAGUGUCUGCUGAAGGACUAAGCAAGAACCCAACUGAGCACAGCCAGCAAAUGCUCAGAACGGGAUGUCAGCAGCACUGCUGUAUCCAACAUGGGUUUCCACGAUAACCCGACAUGGGAACACUUUAUUCUUUCACAGCAAACAGCAGUUGAGAAGCUGGCUGGAUUCCUUGAGGUGUCGAACAUCUCACUCCUCCUUUCUUGAGUAGAAAGCACAAGGUAUAAAAUGUGUAUAAUGUUUUUUUGUUUUUUGUUUUUGACAGGGUCUAGCUCGGUUGCCCAGGCUGGAGUGCAGUGGCAUGAUCAUAGCUCACUGUAGCCUAUAACUCCUGGGCUGAAGCGUUCCUCCCAUCUCAGCCUCCUGAGUAGCUGGGACUACAGGCAAGUGUCACCAUGCCCAGCUAGUGUAGAAACAGGGUUUUGCCAUGUUGCCCAGGCUGGUCUCAAACUCCUGGGCUCAAGUGAUCCUCCCAUCUUGGCAUCCCAAAGUGCUGGGAUUACAGGCAUGAGCCACCUUGCACCCAAUCUGUUUGCAUUUUUAUUUUUAUUUUUUAUUAUUUUAUUAUUUUUAUUUUUUUUAAAGAUGGGGUUUCACCAUGAUGGCCAGGCUGGUCUUGAACUCCUGACCUCAGGUGAUCCACCCACCUCGGCCUCCCAAAGUGCUAGGAUUACAGGUGUGAGCCACUGCACCCAGCUGCAUUUUUAUUUUUUAACCUUAAGCGAUUAAGGGUUAAUGUCUGCAUUUUUUAAGGGAUGUACAGAGGAGAAAGAGCCAAAGGAAAACACUGAUAUGGUGGCAUUCCUGGGUGAUGAGUUUAUGGUGUUUUGUUUCCUGGUCGUCUACAAAAUAUAUGUAAUUUUUAAAGUAUUUUUAAGUUAGCAAUAGCAUUAGAUUACUUCAGGGAAGCCUUCUGGCUCUGUGUGUGGCAAAGCAGAGGGAAUGACUUGUUACCAGCCACAGCAGCACUUGGGCACUCCGUGGUGAGGUCAGCCCCUUCACCUCCUUCAGGAACAGCUGUGGGGAGCAGGUCCCAAGAAUGUGCAGGAAGAGGCUGCAGCAAGAGGCCCAGGGCACGUGUCCUGCGUGGUCAGCCUGGGGUCCAAAGUUAAAACCAGAGCUCCUCCUUCAAGAAAGAGAUCAUAGAAGGCUGCGGUUUCAGGGCCGGGCGCGGUGGCUCACGCCUGUAAUCCCAGCACUUUGGGAGGCCGAGGCGGGUGGAUCACGAGGUCAAGAGAUCGAGACCAUCCUGGUCAACAUGGUGAAACCCCGUCUCUACUAAAAAUACAAAAAAGUAGCUGGGCAUGGUGGCACGUGCCUGUAAUCCCAGCUACUGAGGAGGCUGAGGCAGGAGAAUUGCCUGAACCCAGGAGGCGGAGGUUGCAGUGAGCUGAGAUUGCGCCAUUGCACUCCAGCCUGGGUAAACAAGAGUGAAACUCCGUCUCAAAAAAACAACAACAACAACGAAAAAAGGCUGUGGUUUCAUCCUGUGUUCUCAGAGAAGCAGUGCCAGGCUAGAAAGACAUUUCUUUCAGCAGGCAGGCCCAGCAUACAGGACCCAGGUUCCUGGAGCAAACGUCCCAGGGCUCCGGCAGCCAUAACUACAGCUGCAUAGGCUCUGAUGCUCAGCCACGGAAAUGAGCAACCAGGAAUGAAGGAAGUGGUAUCAGUCCCAACCCUGCUGCCCUUGUGUCUCAAGACCGUGGGCAAGUGGCUGGACUCCACUGGGCUGCCACUGAUACACAGAGGAUGGUGGACUAGAACUGCGAUCCUCCCACCAGUGGCUCCACACCAUCUUCGGGCUCCUCCCCAGAGCCUCUCCACCAAACUCAGUGUCUUCAAAGUUCAAGUUGAUUGUGAAGCUCAGGCAGGUCGGGACGAGCUAAUGCAUUCCGGGUAACGUCUUGGGUCUCCCGUCCACUCCAGUGGCUCCCUGGGCUGUGCAGAUGCCCAGCUCCUCCUCCCCUGCCAUCAUGUGGGCAUGGUGGCCUGCCUGACGCCCUCCAUCCUCCCUCCCCCGUCCACCUCUGCCUACAGGGAGCUACAGGAGGAGAGCGGUCUGACAGUGGAUGCGCUGCACAAGGUGGGCCAGAUCGUGUUUGAGUUCGUGGGCGAACCUGAGCUCAUGGAUGUGCAUGUCUUUUGCACAGACAGCAUCCAGGGGACCCCUGUGGAGAGCCUCAUGGGGCCUGCUCCCCACUCCCCACCAUGCACGUUCCAUCUCCUGGCUGGGAGAAAGACCAUCAGCGCAAACCAGCUCUGAGUGCCAGGUAGCAGGCAGCCUGUGUCCCAUCCACCCCACAAUGCCAGCGUAGGGCCCUGAGCUAUGGUCACUGCAGCCACUUCCUACCCCAAAAUGAGAAACAUGGUCAGAGGAUUAAAUACGAACGAUCAUCAGUUCCUCAUGAUCACUCAGUGUACUCCUCAGAGAGCCAGUUUAAGUUUGGGCUGGCCUGAUGCAGUGGCUCACAGCUGUAAUCCCAGCACUGUGGGAGGCUAAGCCAGGAGGAUCGCCUGAGCCUAGGAGUUCAAGACAAGCCUGGGCAACAUAGUGAGACCCCCGUCUCUACAAAAAUAAUAAUAAGCAUUAAAUUUGGGUUGCAUGUCAGUGCCUCCUCUUCUCCCCUCGGUACAGAAAUGUGCCCACACUGGUUCCAGCUGGACCAGAUCCCCUUCAAGGACAUGUGGCCAGAUGACAGCUACUGGUUUCAAUUCCUACUUCAGAAGAAAAAGUCCACGGGUACUUCAAGUUCCAGGGUCAAGACACCAUCCUGGACUACACACUCCGAGGGGUGGAUGCGGUCUAGCGGGAGCCUGGGGAGCCCCUGGGCAGGAAACUUGGCUGCUGAACAGCUGCAAACCGUCUGUUCACCUGGGCGCAAGUGGAUCAGAGCUGGGUUUUGUCUGUAGUGUGAUUGUACAGAAAGGAAAAUAAAGGUCUUCAACCUUUGUUUUUUGGA